rnacentral:lncRNA from 1 species
GCCACCAUAGCUUGCCAUCUUCUGCUAAAAACAUGGGAGCAAGGCUCAAUUUUUCUUCGUCCGAGGUGGUGCUUGUAGCCUUAAAGUAAGUGUCUAGAUCAAAGAGGAAGUUAUCCACUGCCCUAGAAUCUCGCACUCCUUUGAAGGGUGGUGGUUCUGGAAUUUUCAAUUUCCCAUUUCUCGGAGGGUGGACUUCUACAUUUCUAGUGGCAAUUGAGAGCA